rnacentral:misc_RNA from 1 species
GCUAGUGGUUCUUUAUUUGCCUUAUUUUUAUUUCUCUUUCCUUUAAAUAAAUGUUGUUCCGUUCUCAUUAAACACUCUUUUAUUUCGACAUUUCGGCAUAUCUUUUUACACUUGUUGUGCUUUAUGUUCUUUCAUAUAUUUAUUUCCUCUAAUUUGGAUUCAUUAAUUGAAACACCUUCUGAAUGUCAAGCAGAAAAGGAGGGGCCCCCCCUCAGUAGUCAAAACGAGUGUUCAAGAUCGGAGCUGUAAACGAGCAAGACUCUGUAUAUAACAUCCUAAAAAG